rnacentral:tRNA from 1 species
UUCAGCUUGGCAGAUAAAUGCGACAAAUUUAGAAUUUGUAUAUGAAAUAUUUCAGUUGAAA